rnacentral:misc_RNA from 1 species
ACACCUCAACUCUCAUGGUCCGCCAUGAUGAGCUUGGACUUUGGGGGUCUUGCUGGCCUAGCGUCGGCUCCUCUCAAAUGGAUCAGCUUUCCAGUGUUUGGUGGCAUCACAGGUGUGAUAACUAUCUACGCUUGUGGUUUUCUGCCAUGUAACCUUCAGUGAUGGGGGUUCGCUGGAGCUCACAGAUGUCUCUCCUUGGGGAGGACAGCUUUUGAAC